GGAAUUUUCGCGGAGAGUUAGUCACCUCCUUCGAAGACCACUUGCUCUGGCACCCUGAUUGUAAUACAAACAACAUUUAUAUUACAAGCGACCAGGACCUGAUAAUAUCGUACUGCAAGGCAGUUGAAGAAGGCGAAGAUGACUGUGGAGUUUCUGCUGUUGGGUCAAUCAAUAUGAGCAAUAUCCUCACUGGGAAGUGCAUUGCCAAGAUAUGCUCGACUGACCGUGCACUUCUGGUUAGUCCUCGCAAGAAAGGCGACCCUGGCCGCUCGUCUGUACGGAGCACGGUGAAGGAAGCACUCGAAGAUGUGACAGCGCUCUUCUAUGAUGAGGAUAGGAAUGAGAUCUAUACUGGUAACAAACAAGGCCUUAUACAUGUUUGGUCGAAUUAGGUCUCUGUGCGGGUUUAACUUAUUAAGAUACAUACUCGUGAGUUCAGUUUAAGCUU
rnacentral:misc_RNA from 1 species